rnacentral:misc_RNA from 1 species
GAAGCCCAAAUGUGAUAAAAUGCAACUAACAUAAACUCCAAAGAGAUAAGUUCAUGCCCGUUCACACAAUUCAUAAGGGUGAUAGCAUCAAUCAAACAAUAAAAAAAGCCGAAUCUCAAAACCCUAAACAGAACUGAGCAAAACAUAAAUUUCUACUAAAAAUCCAAGAAGUAUGAAAUAUCAAGAACCAAAACUGAAAAAUGAAGGGAUAUUACUAAAAAAAUACAAAAAAA